GACGAACGCUGGCGGCGUGCUUAACACAUGCAAGUCGAACGGAAAGGCCCUGCUUUUGUGGGGUGCUCGAGUGGCGAACGGGUGAGUAACACGUGAGUAACCUGCCCUUGACUUUGGGAUAACUUCAGGAAACUGGGGCUAAUACCGGAUAGGAGCUCCUGCUGCAUGGUGGGGGUUGGAAAGUUUCGGCGGUUGGGGAUGGACUCGCGGCUUAUCAGCUUGUUGGUGGGGUAGUGGCUUACCAAGGCUUUGACGGGUAGCCGGCCUGAGAGGGUGACCGGCCACAUUGGGACUAAGAUACGGCCCAGACUCCUACGGGAGGCAGCAGUGGGAAAUAUUGCACAAUGGGCGGAAGCCUGAUGCAGCAACGCCGCGUGCGGGAUGACGGCCUUCGGGUUGUAAACCGCUUUAGCCUGUGACGAAGCGUGAGUGACGGUAAUGGGUAAAGAAGCACGGGCUAACUACGUG
rnacentral:rRNA from 1 species